rnacentral:rRNA from 1 species
AGAGUUUGAUCCUGGCUCAGGAUGAACGCUAGCGGCAGGCCUAAUACAUGCAAGUCGAACGGUGAUAGCAAUAUCAUAGUGGCGCACGGGUGCGUAACACGUAUGCAACCUACCUUAUACUGAGGGAUAGCCUUUCGAAAGGGAGAUUAAUACCUCAUAACACAUUGAACUGGCAUCAGUUUAUUGUUAAAGAUUUAUUGGUAUAAGAUGGGCAUGCGUCCAAUUAGUUAGUUGGCGAGGUAACGGCUCACCGAGACGAUGAUUGGUAGGGGAACUGAGAGGUUAAUCCCCCACACUGGCACUGAGAUACGGGCCAGACUCCUACGGGAGGCAGCAGUAGGGAAUAUUGGGCAAUGGAGGCAACUCUGACCCAGCCAUGCCGCGUGCAGGAAGAAGGCGUUAUGCGUUGUAAACUGCUUUUAUAUAGGAAGAAAUAGACCUUGCGAGGUAAGUUGACGGUACUAUAUGAAUAAGCACCGGCUAACUCCGUGCCAGCAGCCGCGGUAAUACGGAGGGUGCAAGCGUUGUCCGGAUUUAUUGGGUUUAAAGGGUGCGUAGGCGGUUUAUUAAGUCAGUGGUGAAAGACGGUCGCUCAACGAUUGCAGUGCCAUUGAUACUGGUAG